rnacentral:rRNA from 1 species
GUGGGGAAUCUUGCGCAAUGGGCGAAAGCCUGACGCAGCCAUGCCGCGUGAAUGAUGAAGGUCUUAGGAUUGUAAAAUUCUUUCACCGGGGACGAUAAUGACGGUACCCGGAGAAGAAGCUCCGGCUAACUUCGUGCCAGCAGCCGCGGUAAUACGAAGGGGGCUAGCGUUGCUCGGAAUUACUGGGCGUAAAGGGCGCGUAGGCGGACAGCUUAGUCAGAGGUGAAAGCCCAGGGCUCAACCUUGGAAUUGCCUUUGAUACUGGCUGUCUUGAGUUUGGGAGAGGUGAGUGGAACUCCGAGUGUAGAGGUGAAAUUCGUAGAUAUUCGGAAGAACACCAGUGGCGAAGGCGACUCACUGGCCCAAUACUGACGCUGAGGCGCGAAAGCGUGGGGAGCAAACAGGAUUAGAAACCCUGGUGGUCC